CUGAACCACCAGACUAAAGAGCAGCUUCUUUCCCCAAACUGCCAAUCGAAGGGCUCAGGUGAGAUGACAUCACCCCCCCGAUCAGCAGUGUGACCUCAGCCUGCAUUAUGAAUUCCUAACGAGGAUCCGACGGCAUCCAAUCAGAGGAGGCUCAGAUUAUCAGCACGGCAGAUAAUUUGUCUGCCAGUUUUUUCCACUGUUUGCACUUUCAUCCUGAUAAGAGAUUUCGACAAUGACUUCUUCAAAGUUCCACUGAGAACAAACUGUCACCACCAAAUCCUGCUGAUUCAAGCUCCUGUGGCGUGCUGAAGGUCUCAUAGACGUUGGCAGCAAACUCCUUCACCUGGUCGUUCAUCAGCAAGUCCUGACAGAGACAGAC